rnacentral:lncRNA from 1 species
GCUGGGCGGGGUGUUACUUUUGGCAUGCUCCCAACUGGUGGAGGGGAUGCACAACGAGAUAGGAAGGGGGUGCUGGUUGGCUGGUUGCAGGGAAGGAGGCAAGGAGCAGGCUUGCUACAUCGAAUGGCAGAGGUGACCGACAAAUUGCACAGCCCCAAUGGCAAGGUGAGUGGCAAUUUUCUUGAAGGUCCUUAGUAGGAAAUUUAGUGCAUAAGAUCACAUAUAUCUUGCCCAGGCAGCAGCGUGCUUAGAAGUAGUCAAUUCAUGCUUAAAUCUGGCUAGUGUUGAAUCUGGUAACUGAGACCAAAUAGGAUGCAGUAUAAUAUGAUUAUACUAUAUUACUGUAAUCGACAAUGUGAUUAGCCAUCAAUAUAAAGUUACUGAUUCAAUAUGAGAUUUCAGAAAAUAUUCUGGUCAUACAAAACAUAGUGACACACAGUGUUGAAGGAUAAUCAUGGUUGCAAUGACCAGUAUAAUUACUUGCGUAUAGUGCUAUAAGCCAAACUUCUCAAUUACUUUAGAAGUACGGCAGAGUACGUCCCAUUCAUCGAUUCAAGUUAGCAUCUAACAAAUCCAUGACAUCUUUCUUUCCCUUUAAAGUUCAAAAAUCCAAUUAGCCAUUGACAAAUAAUUUUGGACAAAUAGUUGAAGGUACAAGUGUACAACCUGGAGAAUGUCAAUGUAGGAACUGAUAUGACUUGAUGUAGCAGGUUCACUUGUUUGGAGUUCCUAGAACAAGUAGCAGCGCUAAAUUGUCACAUAUAUGAGUAAUCUAGUAUGGUAUUGUAAAAUCACCAAUGCUUCACUUUCAUUAUCUGAAACUUAUUUGGAAAGAAACAAACACUUCCCACAUCACGUCCUUCACAAUAUGCAUUUCCCUACACGGAAAAAACCUUGUGACAAAGGCAAAUAUACUGAAAUAAUAUAUGAACCAUAGCCGAAUGACAUAUUACCUCGGUUUGUUGUGAAGGCAUAGGAUUACUUUCUUGCACAUUUUUUGAUUUUAUGUUGCUUUUCUACAAUAAGGUAGCUUACACUUCAGCAAGUUAUAAGAGGAAAAAAGAAGUUCUUUAAAAGAGAGUAUAAAUUUAGAUACCUUUCUUCCUUUUUGACUUGACGCUCCAUUUGUAUCUUUUGGUACCUGCUUCUUCUUCGCUCUCAAUCUUUUGACUACUUGAUCUACUUUAGAUUCCUUUCUCUUUGAGGGAGGGCGACCUACACUGCGAACAGGGACUGGGCUAUGUACAACUUUUUCUUUGUUGAACGUUGUAUCUCCAUGUUUUGAAGUAGGAUCCACCUCCUAAAUUAUAUGGGUAGUGCGAUAAGUAUCAAUCUUUAUUUAUAACUCAUUAAGGCCAUCCAUGACCAAGUCAUGUAAUGCAUCAGACUCAGCACCAUUUUCUGCCACUUCACGGGAACGCUUGCACAAAUUAUCAUAACGUUGCAUAAUUGGUGUAUUCAGCGUAUCAUCGUAGGAGCAUUUUAUAAAGGUGUGUCUGUGCUUAAAAUCCUUUGUCCAUCGCUGCAAUAUAUACCUAGGAGGUACUUUUGUUAUCCCCAUGAGAGCAAGCACAGAAAGGAUGUGGCUACACAAGAUGCCCUGAAAUUCAAAUAAUCUACAAACACACUUCACAUCACAUUCCCCUUGGUCGAGCAAGAGAGUGAACUCUGAAAUAACCCAUUUCUCUUUGAUAUAUCCAUCCUCUCCUUCAUAAAAAAAUCUUGCGGUCCUCUCUGACUCUAAACAUCAAAGGUGACCCGUCUUUGUCCAUCAAAGUUGGAUAGCAAUAUAUUUUACCUCUCAAUUGAUCUUGAAACUCUUUAAACUUCGCAUUUGUAUAGGCGGCCUGAAAUUGCCCCUCAAGGUCAUAGUCAGUAAUACAUCGAAUUACCUCUUGGAAUGACUUAGAAUCAGCCUUGUUUUCUUUCUCUACUUUGUCUCGUAAUGCAUUUCCAUACUGCUCCACAAAUUGCUUCAGAGUUGUUCUAGCAUGGACAUAACCAUCAAACAAAGCAUUCACACUCUCACUCCUUUGUGUUGAAGACAUUCCUGCCCAAAAAGUAUCUUUCACAUAUGCUGGCGCCCAUAGAUUUUUAUCGUCGUCUAAUCCAUCUAGCCAUUCAUUGUCCUGAAGAUCAUAUUUCUCGAUCAUUUGUAACCAAGCUUCGUCAAAAUCAUGUUUGGUCAAGGAAUCAUACACCACUUUUGACAGCGUAUAUUUGAUGUUCUCAUACUUCUCAUACCCACUAACCUUUUCAGGAAUAUUCUUCAUGAUAUGCCAUAUACACCAUCUAUGACGAGCCCGUGGGAAAACUUCUUUAAUUGCAUUUUGCAUUGCUUUGCACUGGUCAGUAAUUAUAGCAUUUGGUGGGUUGUUUGACAUACAACAUAACCAAGAUUUGAAUAACCAGAGAAAAGUGUCGGUAUCUUCAUUCGACAAAAGACCACAACCUAACAGAACUGAUUCGCCAUGAUGAUUUACGCCAACAAAUGGAGAAAACGGCACCUUAUAUUUGUUUGUCAAGUAUGUGGUGUCAAAUGUGAUGACAUCACAAAAAGAUUCAUAUGUAGCUCUACUUCUUGCAUCUGCCCAGAAGGCAUUUCUCAGUCGUCCAUCCUCAUCCACAUCCAUAACAUGAAAAAAAUCUGGAUCUUUUGACUGCAUAUCAAGAAAGUACUGAUAAACAUCAUUUGCAUCUCUAGCACCAAGCUUUAGCCUUCUUGUCUCUUGCAAAUAGUUCCUGCACUCCUUUUCACCAUACUCAAGUUUAUCAUAGCCACCGGCUUCCAUAACAAGCGAACCAAAAUUCUUGUUCACACGGAUUCCUGCUUGAUCAUUCAAUUCUAGCGUUCUUUUGGCAUGCAAGUCCAGUUUCUUAUGGCAUCUCAGAAAUCUGGCUUUGCUUGUACUUAUAAGAUGAUUGUGAUCAAUGGUAACAGAAGUAAUGCAAAACUUUUCUCCACGACGAGAGAAAUUACUCUUAGCUGGACACUGCAUCCUUGUUGAUGGAUUUGGUUUGAAUGAGUUAUUUGAUGAGUAUUGAGCCUUUCCUUGUCUACUACAAGCAAGAGUAAAAUAAUUAAGCUUGUUAUCUUCACUCGGCCUAGUGGUUCUUCUUACUACACCAAAACCCUUUCUCUUUGCAUAACCAUUGUAGAACCUGACAGCAUCAUCCUCACUAUCAAACAUGAGCCCCUUCUUAGGUUCCAACAUCAUGAUCGGUGCUUGCUGGAAAUCCAAAGAAUCCCUAGUCUCCUCCGCGAUGAAAACAUCAUCAUCCUCGUGAAAUACCAUGCUCUGCUCUGUCACUUCAUCCAAAGUUAAAUUUGACUCCAUCACGUACCUAAAAUAGCCAACAAUAAGAUCAAAUAUGUGUCGUGAGCCUAUAAAUUAAAUAUGAACAUGUUAGUAAGCAUAACCUGUUGUGGCACCGUAAAAAGGAAGAAGAAAAUAGCAUAUUUGAUCCACGGGUUUAUGAUACAGCAGGUUUUGCUACAGCAGAUUUGAUCCACAAUGCGAAAAAUACAUAUCUUGGAUUUUUUUACCAGCUGUGAUUGUUUUCCCUCUUAUCAAUUUGCUAAUUAGCAGGGAUUACAUGGAAUCAGACAGAUUUGGUAAUUAGCAGGGAUGAACUCAUGAAGAGGACAUGGUACAUAUUUGAUCUUAACGAUGGAACAGAUACAUACCUUGUAAUGUUUUUGCUGGCCCUCGGUGUUUACCCCUCUAAUCAAAAAUCUUGGUGCAGAUUACAUGUGAAUCAGACAAAUCAAACUUCUCUGUACUAGAGCAGAUCAACAGGGAAGAGAUCGUGAAGAAGAUCAGCCGUCGUGAUUUGAAGGGAAGAGGAGGAGGCAUGAAAAGUUAUGGAGCGAAUAGGUGGGAAAGUAUUGAUGGGGUUAGGGAACAG